rnacentral:rRNA from 1 species
GGUCGGGGGGGCCCGGCCAAUUUUUUACGAGGUCAGGUUACUGUGAGGAUUGACAGAUUGAAAGCUCUUUCUUGAUUCAGUGGGUGGUGGUGCAUGGCCGUUCUUAGUUGGUGGAGUGAUUUGUCUGGUUAAUUCCGUUAACGAACGAGACCUUAACCUGCUAAAUAGUCACGCGAACCGGUCCGCAAGGGCUCAAAGUUCGCGGCUCGACUUCUUAGAGGGACUAUUCGCACCCGCCAGCGAAUGGAAGUUUGAGGCAAUAACAGGUCUGUGAUGCCCUUAGAUGUUCUCGGCCGCACGCGCGUUACACUGACGGAGUCAACGAGCGUUUUUCCUUGCCCGACAGGGCUGGGUAACCUCCUGAAACUCCGUCGUGAUGGGGAUAGAUCAUUGCAAUUAUUGAUCUUGAACGAGGAAUUCCUAGUAAGCGCGAGUCAUCAACUCGCGCUGAUUACGUCCCUGCCCUUGUACACACCGCUCCGAAGUUACAAUCCUGUUC